rnacentral:rRNA from 1 species
AUUGAACGCUGGCGGCAGGCCUAACACAUGCAAGUCGAACGAGUGGCGGACGGGUGAGUAAUGUCUGGGAAACUGCCCGCUGGAGGGGGAUAACUCCUGGAAACGGUCGCUAAUACCGCAUACCCUCGGAUGUGCCCAGAUGGGAUUAGCUAGUAGGUGGGGUAACGGCUCACCUAGGCGACGAUCCCUAGCUGGUCUGAGAGGAUGACCAGCCACACUGGAACUGAGACACGGUCCAGACUCCUACGGGAGGCAGGAGUGGGGAAUAUUGCACAAUGGGCGCAAGCCUGAUGCAGCCAUGCCGCGUGUAUGAAGAAGGCCUUCGGGUUGUAAAGUACUUUCAGCGGGGAGGCGUUACUCGCAGAAGAAGCACCGGCUAACUCCGUGCCAGCAGCCGCGGUAAUAC